GACGAACGCUGGCGGCGUGCUUAACACAUGCAAGUCGAACGAGAUCCCAUGUGUAGCAAUACACCGGAAGAUCUAGUGGCGAACGGGUGAGGAACACGUGAGAAACGUACCCCAGACUUUGGGAUAACAGUCCGAAAGGACUGCUAAUACCAAAUAACGUCGGAAGUCCGCAUGGACAUCUGACGAAAGGGAUUCCGGUUUGGGAGCGUCUCGCGGACCUAUCAGCUAGUUGGAGGGGUAACGGCCCACCAAGGCAACGACGGGUAGCUGGUCUGAGAGGAUGGUCAGCCACACUGGGACUGAGACACGGCCCAGACUCCUACGGGAGGCAGCAGUGGGGAAUCUUGCGCAAUGGGCGAAAGCCUGACGCAGCAACGCCGCGUGCGGGAAGAAGGCUUUCGGGCUGUAAACCGCUUUCAGUAGGAACGAAACUGACGGUACCUACAGAAGAAGGAGCGGCCAACUAUGUG
rnacentral:rRNA from 1 species